UACGGAGGGUGCAAGCGUUAUCCGGAUUCACUGGGUUUAAAGGGUGCGUAGGUGGGUUGGUAAGUCAGUGGUGAAAUCCCCGAGCUUAACUUGGGAACUGCCAUUGAUACUAUCAGUCUUGAGUACCGUGGAGGUCAGCGGAAUAUGUCAUGUAGCUGUGAAAUGCUUAGAUAUGACAUAGAACACCAAUUGCGAAGGCAGCUGGCUACACGAAUAUUGACACUCAGGCACGAAAGCGUGGGGAUCAAACAGG
rnacentral:rRNA from 1 species